rnacentral:rRNA from 1 species
AGUGAACGCUGGCGGUAGGCCUAACACAUGCAAGUCGAACGGCAGCACAGUAAGAGCCUGCUCUUACGGGUGGCGGGUGGCGGACGGGUGAGGAAUACAUCGGAAUCUACUUUUUCGUGGGGGAUAACGUAGGGAAACUUACGCUAAUACCGCAUACGACCUACGGGUGAAAGCAGGGGAUCUUCGGACCUUGCGCGAUUGAAUGAGCCGAUGUCGGAUUAGCUAGUUGGCGGGGUAAAGGCCCACCAAGGCGACGAUCCGUAGCUGGUCUGAGAGGAUGAUCGGCCACACUGGAACUGAGACACGGUCCAGACUCCUACGGGAGGCAGCAGUGGGGAAUAUUGGACAAUGGGCGCAAGCCUGAUCCAGCCAUACCGCGUGGGUGAAGAAGGCCUUCGGGUUGUAAAGCCCUUUUGUUGGGAAAGAAAAGCAGCAGGUUAAUACCCCGCUGUUCUGACGGUACCCAAAGAAUAAGCACCGGCUAACUUCGUG